rnacentral:rRNA from 1 species
CACAAUUCGCCAAGCGUCGGAUUGUUCACCCGCUAAUAGGGAACGUGAGCUGGGUUUAGACCGUCGUGAGACAGGUUAGUUUUACCCUACUGAUGGGACGUCGUUGCUAUAGUAAUCCUGCUUAGUACGAGAGGAACCGCAGGUUCGGACAAUUGGUACACGCACUCGGUUGACACGCCGCUGGUGCGACGCUACCAUCCGAGGGAUUAGGCCUGAACGCCUCUAAGACCGAAUCCCGACUAUACGCAAUGAUAUAACGAUGGGUCCCGUGAGUCGAGAGGCUCAAUGCAAUGUGACUCUAUUAGGUGGUCGGUCUCGUGCCGGCCAUCGCUCGAGCCCUGUGGCCGGGGUGCCCUCGUGUGGAGAGGUGCCGGUACAUUCCGGACGCCUCUUCCGGUGCUCUGGCGUAACAUGGUUCAACCCCCUCCACGGGGGAGUUCGAUGUCGGGACCUUGAAUCGUCUGUAGACG